UAAACUACCAAGCUUGCUUCGGCAAAAUUGGAAAGGAUACAGAGAAGAUUAGCAUGGUCCCUGUGCAAGGAUGACAUGUAUAUUCGUGAAGCAAUCCAUAUUUUG